rnacentral:piRNA from 1 species
UGGUGCACGUGGGGCAAAUCUUAGUUUU